AUCUUCCUAGUACAGACAGUAUAGGUGACUUCCAAUCACUUGGCCCCAGUUAAAAUCCGGGGGUAGAUA
rnacentral:tRNA from 1 species